rnacentral:rRNA from 1 species
AUUGAACGCUGGCGGCAGGCCUAACACAUGCAAGUCGAACGAGCGGCGGACGGGUGAGUAAUGUCUGGGAAACUGCCUGAUGGAGGGGGAUAACUACUGGAAACGGUAGCUAAUACCGCAUACCAUCAGCUGUGCCCAGAUGGUAUUAGCUAGUAGGUGGGGUAAUGGCUCACCUAGGCGACGAUCCGUGGCUGGUCUGAGAGGAUGACCAGCCACACUGGAACUGAGACACGGUCCAGACUCCUACGGGAGGCAGCAGUGGGGAAUAUUGCACAAUGGGCGCAAGCCUGAUGCAGCAAUGCCGCGUGUAUGAAGAAGGCCUUCGGGUUGUAAAGUACUUUCAGCGGGGAGGCGGUACCCGCAGAAGAAGCACCGGCUAACUCCGUGCCAGCAGCCGCGGUAAUUC